GCAGACGGAGGCGGAGCUGGGAGCUCAACACACUGCCACUCCAGGCAGCUGCGCAGCUGGUCUCCUCUUCUGCUGCAGUUCUCCCCAGAGUCAGAAGUUUACAUGAAAACACUUUUCAGACCCUGCAGCAGCAGGCCCCUCAUCAUGGCCAGGUGAAAGCAGUGACAGUGAGACAAGCAGAGGCAGAAAUAGAAGAUGAGGUUGAUAUUCAUAUAAGUGAUGAGAGGGAAAGUGAAGAAUGUGAUGAAGGUAGUCAGGAGCAGGAGGACAGAGCUGAAGAGGAAAGAGAAGAAAAUGAGAGACUUAGGCCAUUGGUAUCACUAUGGUAUUUGGUAUGGGGGCCCAGCAAGAUGGUUUGUACCCAGGGCCCAAAAU
ensembl:lncRNA